AUUGAACGCUGGCGGCAGGCCUAACACAUGCAAGUCGAACGAGUGGCGGACGGGUGAGUAAUGUCUGGGAAACUGCCUGAUGGAGGGGGAUAACUACUGGAAACGGUAGCUAAUACCGCAUACCAUCAGAUGUGCCCAGAUGGGAUUAGCUAGUUGGUGGGGUAACGGCUCACCACGGCGACGAUCCCGAGCUGGUCUGAGAGGAUGACCAGCCACACUGGGACUGAUACACGGCCCAGACUCCUACGGGAGGCAGCAGUGUGGAAUAUUGCACCAUGGGCGCAAGCCUGAUGCAGCCAUGCCGCGUGUAUGAAUAAGGCCUUCGGUUUGUAAAGUACUUUCAGCCGGGAGGCGUUACCCGCAGAAGAAGCACCGGCUAACUCCGUGCCAGCAGCCGCGGUAAUUC
rnacentral:rRNA from 1 species